CUACAUAUAGGUUUUUACCAGUCAAGCUCCUGGAUGGUAUCCAUCUCUCACCUGGUUCCAGGCUCUAGCCAUGGCUUGACUGCAUGUUGCUCAGC
rnacentral:pre_miRNA from 1 species